rnacentral:tRNA from 1 species
GCCUCGGUAGCUCAGCCUGGUAGAGCGCGUCAUUGGUAAUGACGAGGUUCCCGGGUUCAAUUCCCGGCCGAGGCU